rnacentral:lncRNA from 10 species
CAACAAAGAUAAAAAAAUUGUUUCCCUUUCACCACACAAGACUUUUAAAAAGCAUCGUGGACUAGUUUUUUAUUUCCCUUAAAAGGUUUUCCAAAUUGGAAUGCUGGCAGCUCUUCCUAUCCCUGAGAAAAAUAGCGAAGCAAGAAUAUUUGUAAUUAGAGCUGCUUAAAAAUCAGAGUUUACCCACAUUGCAGAACAUUCUCAUGUUUUAACUAGAAUAGCUGUGGUGUCUGAGCCACACUUGGGGCUAAUGAAAAAAGAAGGCCACAAGAAAAGUAAGCCGUUUGUACUCUGGAGCUGAGAUGAAUUCCAAGGUGGGCGUGGAGGUGAUGGGAACUAUCAACACACACUACCUCAAAAUGUGGCUCCUUGGAUUUGAGAGAACAGCAGAAGCAGAAAGGUUUUGGCAGAAAUGUGAAUAUUAGCAAGGAAACUGUGGGAUACAUGAUCCAGUCAUCAUAACCUUCUUUGGAACUGGUAUUGAUCCAGCAGCAGCUUUCAGUACUGAUCUUAAAAACAAAUAAUAUGAUUGGAUCGAUCAUCACAAAGGGAUCGAUCAUCACAAAGGGAAUUUGAAGGAUGUAUCUGGGUAAUUCAAACCGAAAACACCUAACUCCAGUUCAUUAAAAAUCAUUUCAUAUUUGUAUAAGAAUAAUUUUAAAAGAAUCUAGAUGUAGUUAUAAUUUUAGAAGUAGUCAUAUUUCUAGAAUCUUCUUUAAAUUCUUGUUAUUUGAAUAUGAAAUUAUUGUAAAUCAGUUGAAUAAAUAACUAUAUCCGUAUGAAAUUUCAAACUAAUAUGUACAUUAGAAGUAUAUUCAUUUUUCGAGAAGAAAUAUUUUUGUCC